rnacentral:rRNA from 1 species
AGGAUAAACGCUGGCGGCGUGCAUGAGACAUGCAAGUCGAACGGACGAUCAGGGCUUGCUCUGAUCGUUAGUGGCGGACGGCUGAGUAACGCGUAGGUGACCUGCCCCGAAGUGGGGAAUAACUGCCCGAAAGGGUGGCUAAUACCGCAUGUGGUGGUGUGUUCAUUCACACCAGUAAAGCCGCAAGGCGCUUCGGGAGGGGCCUGCGUCCGAUUAGCUCGUUGGUGGGUAACGGCUCACCAAGGCGACGAUCGGUAGGUGGUCUGAGAGGACGAUCACCCAGACUGGGGACUGAGACACGGCCCAGACUCCUACGGGAGGCAGCAGUCGGGAAUUUUUGCGCAAUGGACGAAAGUCUGACGCAGCAACGCCACGUGAGGGAUGAAGGCCUUCGGGUUGUAAACCUCUUUUAUCAGGGAAGAUAAUGACGGUACCUGAUGAAUAAGUCACGGCUAACUACGUGCCAGCAGCCGC